AUAAUGACAAGCAGAAGGUGAGCGUCCCUGACCCACAGGUUUCUCAGAAGGAGGACUCUGGGGAGAUGCUGCGGGCGACCGGGACCCGGGGUCCCUUCGCUUCCUUGCCUGCUGCGGCGCGGGACGCGGAGAGCGCGGAAACUACUCCAGUCAGCUAAGUCGUCUUCGCCGAGAAGGGGACCUCACCCCUCUCCGUAAACCGUUUCCAGGCGUUCUCCUCUGGGCUUUAUGACGUGACUAAAAGAUAGUCGGCUGUAGUUUUUCGUGAAGAUGUUUGACGUACUACAUACCGCUGCUCAGAGAAGGCGCUGACUUGGCUCUUUUGAAGGAGUCAGCUAGGAAUCCUAGCAUGGUUGCUCCCUUUGGUCAGAGCUGAGAGUGCAGUCGUUAUUUUCCUACACGAGGUGGAGCUGAAGAGUACCGUGCUCUGAGACUUGUGACAGCAUGAAAAAAUUUAAAUGGGAGUUUGGGCAGGAGGUGGGGGUUUGUUUUGUUUUUAGAGAACAGAAAUGGAGCACCGCCUCUGUUUUAUCAGCAAAUAAAAAUUAUCAGUGAAGGAAUAGCACACA